rnacentral:rRNA from 1 species
AUGAACGCUGGCGGCGUGCUUCACACAUGCCAGUCGAACGCUGAAGCCCAGCUUGCUGGGUGGAUUAGUGGCGAACGGGUGAGUAACACGUGAGUAACCUGCCCUUAACUCUGGGAUAAGCCUGGGAAACUGGGUCUAAUACCGGAUAGGAGCGCCUACCGCAUGGUGGGUGUUGGAAAGAUUUAUCGGUUUUGGAUGGACUCGCGGCCUAUCAGCUUGUUGGUGAGGUAAUGGCUCACCAAGGCGACGACGGGUAGCCGGCCUGAGAGGGUGACCGGCCACACUGGGACUGAGACACGGCCCAGACUCCUACGGGAGGCAGCAGUGGGGAAUAUUGCACAAUGGGCGCAAGCCUGAUGCAGCGACGCCGCGUGAGGGAGGACGGCCUUCGGGUUGUAAACCUCUUUCAGUAGGGAAGAAGCGAAAGGGACGGUACCUGCAGAAGAAGCACCGGCUAACUACGU